rnacentral:rRNA from 1 species
CUGCAUGGCUGUCGCAGCUCGUGUCGUAGAUGUUGGGUUAAGUCCGUACGAGCGCAACCCUUGUCCUUAGUUACCAGCACGUUAUGGUGGGCACUCUAAGGGGACUGCCGGUGACAAACCGGAGGAAGGUGGGGGAUGACGUCAAGUCAUCAUGGCCCUUACGGCCUGGGCUACACACGUGCUACAAUGGUCGGUACAAAGGGUCGCCAAGCCGCGAGGUGGAGCUAAUCCCAUAAAACCGAUCGUAGUCCGGAUCGCAGUCUGCAACUCGACUGCGUGAAGUCGGAAUCGCUAGUAAUCGUGAAUCAGAAUGUCACGGUGAAUACGUUCCCGGGCCUU